UACGUAGGGGGCUAGCGUUGUCCGGAAUCAUUGGGCGUAAAGCGCGCGUAGGCGGCCAGAUAAGUCCGGUGUGAAAGUCACAGGCUCAACCUGUGAAUGCCGCUGGAAACUGCCUGGCUUGAGUCCGGAAGGGGCGAGUGGAAUUCCUGGUGUAGCGGUGAAAUGCGCAGAUAUCAGGAGGAACACCAAUGGCGAAGGCGGCUUUCUGGUCUGCUCUUGACGCUGAGGCGCGAAAGCUAGGGUAGCAAACGGG
rnacentral:rRNA from 1 species